rnacentral:Y_RNA from 1 species
GGUUGGUUCAAGUGCAGUGGUAUUUACAACUAAUUGAUCACAACCAGUUACAGAUUUCCUUUGCUCCUUACCCACUACCACUGCUUCACUUGACCAGCCUUAA